rnacentral:rRNA from 1 species
CGCUGGCGGCACGCCUAACACAUGCAAGUCGAACGAAGUAGCAAUACUUAGUGGCAGACGGGUGAGUAACAUGUAGGUAUCUGCCCUUUGGCCUGGAAUAACACGAGGAAACUUGUGCUAAUACCGGAUAAGUCUUUACGGAGAAAGCUUUAUGCACCAUUGGAUGAGCCUGCACUUGAUUAGUUUGUUGGUGGGGUAAUGGCCUACCAAGACUGUGAUCAAUAGCUGAUUUGAGAGGAUGAUCAGCCACAUUGGGACUGAGACACGGCCCAAACUCCUACGGGAGGCAGCAGUGGGGAAUCUUGCACAAUGGAGGAAACUCUGAUGCAGCGAUGCCGCGUGAGUGAAGAAGGCCUUUGGGUUGUAAAGCUCUUUCGUCGGGGAAGAAAAUGACUGUACCCGAAUAAGAAGGUCCGGCUAACUUCGUGCCAGCAGCCGCGGUAAUACGAAGGGACCUAGCGUAGUUCGGAAUUACUGGGCUUAAAGAGUUCGUAGGUGGUUGAAAAAGUUAGUGGUGAAAUCCCAGAGCUUAACUCUGGAACUGCCAUUAAAACUUUUCAGCUAGAGUAUGAUAGAGGAAAGCAGAAUUUCUAGUGUAGAGGUGAAAUUCGUAGAUAUUAGAAAGAAUACCAAUUGCGAAGGCAGCUUUCUGGAUCAUUACUGACACUGAGGAACGAAAGCAUGGGUAGCGAAGAGGAUUAGAUACCCUCGUAGUCCAUGCCGUAAACGAUGUGUGUUAGACGUUGGAAAUUUAUUUUCAGUGUCGCAGGGAAACCGAUAAACACACCGCCUGGGGAGUACGACCGCAAGGUUAAAACUCAAAUGAAUUGACGGGGACCCGCACAAGUAGUGGAGCAUGUGGUUUAAUUCGAAGAUACGCGCAG